rnacentral:rRNA from 1 species
CUUGAACGCUGGCGGCAGGCCUAACACAUGCAAGUCGAACGAGUCGCGGACGGGUGAGUAAUGUCUGGGCAACUGCCUGAUGGAGGGGGAUAACUUCUGGAACCGGUAGCUAAUACCGCAUACCAUCAGAUGUUCCCAGAUGGGAUUAUCUUGUUGGUGGGGUAACGGCUCACUAAGGCGACGAUCCCUAGCUGGUCUGAGAGGAUGAUCAGCCACACUGGAACUUAGACACGGCCCAGACUCCUACGGGAGGCAGCAGUGGGGAAUAUGGCACAAUGGGCGAAAGCCUGAUGCAGCCAUGCAGCGUGUAUGAAGAAGGCCUUAGGGUUGUAAAGUACUUUCAGUGGGGAGGCGUUACCCGCAGAAGAAGCACCGGCUAACUCCGUGCCAGCAGCCGCGGUAAUAC